GAGAAGCUGGGAAAGGGCACACGGAGGAUGCCUAGGCGGCGGGAGCCGAAGAAGGACGUGCUAAGCUGCGAAAAGCCCGGGGGAGGUGCACAGGACCUGUGAUACCGGGAUAUCCGAAUGGGAGAACCUGCAUACCUGGAGGGUAUGCGCGAGAGAGGUAAGCCGGCGAACUGAAACAUCUAAGUAGCCGGAGGAAAAGAAAGUAAAGACGAUUCCCUGAGUAGCGGCGAGCGAACGGGGAGGAGCCUAAACCGUAGAUGUGUCAAAGCUGGCGGCGUUGCAUCUGCGGGGUAGAGGGAACAUGCUGGGUCAAAGCCAUAAGGCCGGGUGUAUCAUGACGUAAGCGGAACGCGGCUGGAAAGCCGGACCGUAGGAGGUGAGAGUCCUGUAGAGCGUAAAGUGAUGAUAUACCGUAUGUAAUCCCGAGUAGCAUCGGACACGAGGAAUCCGGUGUGAAUCAGCGUGGACCAUAUCACGUAAGGCUAAAUACUUCCGCCGACCGAUAGAGGAGAGUACCGUGAGGGAAAGGUGAAAAGAACCCUGAGCAAGGGAGUGAAAAAGAAUUUGAAACCGUGUGCUUACAAGCGGUAGGAGCGCGAAAGCGUGACUGCGUGGAUUUUGGUUAAUCAUCCUGCGAGUUAUGAUGUGUGGCGAGGUUAAGUAUGAGCGGAGCCGAAGGGAAACCGAGUCUUAAUAGGGCGACGAGUCGCAUGUCAUAGACGCGAAACCUAGUGAUCUAGGCCUGUCCAGGCU
rnacentral:rRNA from 1 species